UACGUAGGUGGCAAGCGUUAUCCGGAAUUAUUGGGCGUAAAGCGCUCGCAGGCGGUUUUUUACGUCUGAUGCGAAAGCCCACGGCUCAACCGUGGAGGGUCAUUGGAAACUGGGAGACUUGAGUGCAGAAGAGGGGAGUGGAAUUCCACGUGUAGCGGUGAAAUGCGUAGAGAUGUGGAGGAACACCAGUGGCGAAGGCGACUCUCUGGUCUGUAACUGACGCUGAGGAGCGAAAGCGUGGGGAGCAAACAGG
rnacentral:misc_RNA from 1 species